AUUGAACGCUGGCGGCAGGCCUAACACAUGCAAGUCGAACGAGUGGCGGACGGGUGAGUAAUGUCUGGGAAACUGCCUGAUGGAGGGGGAUAACUACUGGAAACGGUAGCUAAUACCGCAUACCAUCAGAUGUGCCCGGAUGGGAUUGGCUGGUUGGUGGGGUAACGGCUCACCAAGGAGACGAUCCCUAGCUGGGCUGAGAGGAUGACCAGCCACACUGGAACUGAGACACGGUCCAGACGCCUACGGGAGGCAGCAGUGGGGAAUAGUGCACAAUGGGCGCAAGACUGAUGCAGCCAUGCCGCGUGUAUGAAGAAGGCCUUCGGGUUGUAAAGUACUGUCAGCGGGGAGGCGUUACCCGCAGAAGAAGCACCGGCUAACUCCGUGCCAGCAGCCGCGGUAAUAC
rnacentral:rRNA from 1 species